rnacentral:tRNA from 1 species
AGGGCAGUAGCUCCAAUGGCUAGAGCGGCUGAUUCCAAAUCAGCAUGUUGAGGGUUCGAGUCCUUCCUGCCCUGCCA